rnacentral:tRNA from 1 species
AGUAAGAUGGCUGAAAUUAAGCGGAAAACUGUAAAUUUUCUUAUGAAGUCCUCUUCUCUUACUA